UGAGGAAUAUUGGUCAAUGGACGAAAGUCUGAACCAGCCAUGCCGCGUGCAGGAUGACGGCCCUAUGGGUUGUAAACUGCUUUUAUAAGGGAAUAAACCCCCCGACGUGUCGGGGGCUGAAGGUACCUUACGAAUAAGGAUCGGCUAACUCCGUGCCAGCAGCCGCGGUAAUACGGAGGAUCCAAGCGUUAUCCGGAUUCAUUGGGUUUAAAGGGUCCGCAGGCGGGUUAUUAAGUCAGUGGUGAAAUCCUGCAGCUUAACUGUAGAACUGCCAUUGAUACUGGUAAUCUUGAGUGUGGUUGAAGUGGGCGGAAUGUGUCAUGUAGCGGUGAAAUGCAUAGAUAUGACACAGAACACCGAUUGCGAAGGCAGCUCACUAAGCCAUUACUGACGCUCAGGGACGAAAGCGUGGGGAGCGAACAGG
rnacentral:rRNA from 1 species